GUAAGGCUUAGCUCCGCCAAACUGACUGCGGCCUUAUUGUAGCAGUAGAGGAGGCCAUGGAAUGACAUGCCAGAAUGGGAAUGGUAAAGGAAUACAGCUCAUAUGAUGCUAUACGCCACGAGGACUGAUGCAGAUAUUAUGUAAUCCCUAACACUGGAAUUGUUUGCGGUUGAUUGGAAAGGAGAGGACCUGCAAUGAAAUGUGAAGCCUACGGACAACUUGAAUUAAAAGAAGCUAUCGUCACGGCAAUGUUAGCUUUGUUGGUGAAUCGAUAUAAACUGGAAUAGGCUACUUUUCAAUGCAAUAUGAUAUGACAUUUUGUUACAAUGUACCCUCCAAGAUGUUCCAAUGGGAUUUAAUAUCUUUACGUAUGAGGGUAGACAAUGUUGGUUGUCAUAAAAUUUGUUCUUGAAUUAUAAAAUUCAAGAACUCACUCAUAAAAUGCUGCAUUAAU